rnacentral:rRNA from 1 species
GGACGUGUACGAGUCUGAUGGAGCACGCCGCGUGAGUGAUGAAGGUUUUCGGAUCGUAAAACUCUGUUGUAAGGGAAGAACAAGUACGUUAGGAAAUGAACGUACCUUGACGGUACCUUAUUAGAAAGCCACGGCUAACUACGUGCCAGCAGCCGCGGUAAUACGUAGGUGGCAAGCGUUGUCCGGAUUUAUUGGGCGUAAAGCGCGCGCAGGUGGUUUCUUAAGUCUGAUGUGAAAGCCCACGGCUCAACCGUGGAGGGUCAUUGGAAACUGGGGAACUUGAGUGCAGAAGAGGAUAGUGGAAUUCCAAGUGUAGCGGUGAAAUGCGUAGAGAUUUGGAGGAACACCAGUGGCGAAGGCGACUGUCUGGUCUGUAACUGACACUGAGGCGCGAAAGCGUGGGGAGCAAACAGGAUUAGAUAGCGGGGGGGAAAGUCGAC